rnacentral:rRNA from 1 species
UACGGGGGGGGCAAGCGUUGUUCGGAAUUACUGGGCGUAAAGGGCGCGUAGGCGGUUUGCUAAGUUGGAUGUGAAAACUCUGGGCUUAACCCAGAGCCUGCAUCCAAAACUGGCAAACUUGAGUACUGGAGGGGAAAGCGGAAUUCCUGGUGUAGCGGUGAAAUGCGUAGAUAUCUGGAGGAACACCGGUGGCGAAGGCGGCGUUCUGGACUGCAACUGACACUGAUGAACGAAAGCCAGGGGAGCAAACGGG